rnacentral:rRNA from 1 species
UACGUAGGUGACAAGCGUUGUCCGGAUUUACUGGGCGUAAAGAGCGCGCAGGCGGUCGUUCAAGUCGCGUGUGAAAGCCCCCGGCUCAACUGGGGAGGGUCAUUCGAUACUGAUCGACUGGAAGGCAGGAGAGGGAAGUGGAAUUCCCGGUGUAGUGGUGAAAUGCGUAGAUAUCGGGAGGAACACCAGUGGCGAAGGCGACUUCCUGGCCUGUUCUUGACGCUGAGGCGCGAAAGCUAGGGGAGCAAACGGG